GUACAGCUUGUCUGUGUUCUUCUGGGUUUAGUGUUUGAUGGAUGUUGAAGCUGAAAAGAAUUCUGAUCAAAACCAAAGCAUGAAGUCAAUGAACUUCAAGAAUCAUAAGAACGAGGUCGGCAAUGCAUUAAGUGGGUAAGUGUGAACCAUUGUUCUUUGCAAAGUGUUAGCUUAGCAUUGAUGUAUCUUAUCUGUUUAUAUACUAAGCAUGGAUCCUUAUACUCGGUUCAAGCAUCAUGUUCGGUUUGUCUCUUGAUUAAUUUAAUAUGCUGCUCCCCUUACUAAUGCAGAGCGUUAGUCAUCUUUCCUUACUGCAUCUUCUGCAUCAGGCUAAAUGUCAAGUUGCAAGUGAUUUCUUACCCUCCUGCAUAUAAUCUCCAUUUUCCUUGGUAGUUUUUCCUCUGAUGUAUGCCUAAGAUCUUAUUCUCGAGACUUUUCUCUAUUCGGCCACUAUGUGACAUACGAUUCAGUUGAGCUAGCUACCUUUGCUCCUUAUUGGGUGUCGUUCGAACAAAUGACUACAUAAUCAUACUCCAAAUGAAGUAGAUGCUAGGUUUACUUAAUCCUCCAAGAUUUUCUUUGGUUUACAAUGUCCAUAGUGUUUUCGUACAUGAUCUUAGUAAACCCUUGGACAAGUUGCUUUCGUGAUAGGGCGCUGCAUCAGAUUUUUCAGCGCUUUGCAGUUAUGGGGAUCGACAUCUGGAUUGAUCACAAAGUUGUGCGAGCUUCGAAGAAAAGGGUGAAGGUAGGUAUAGCUGUCCUGGAAGGCUGGAACCAAACUGUUGGAGGGCCAUGGCCUUAAUUGAGUUCCAGGAUUGUUCAAUAAUUGGGAGUUGUGGAGCAUUUGUGUUAUCUGUGGCUGAGAAGAGCUGGAUUUGGGGUUGAAAAGGACACCACAACAGAGAGGAUGAGGCAACAGCUAGUGCUACCAGAAUAACAAACAGCAGCUUGGAGUUGAAGAGUUACGUGAGGGGAGAAACUCCUAUAUCCCUUGUUUCUUACCGCUCUCCUCUCUCUCAUCACAUGACUACCCAUAUGAUGAGAGAGAGGAAGAGGGUUAUGAAACGAGGGAUACUAAGUAUUAUGCAUGUAAGCUAUUUA
rnacentral:sRNA from 1 species